AUUGAACGCUGGCGGCAGGCCUAACACAUGCAAGUCGAACGAGUGGCGGACGGGUGAGUAAUGUCUGGGAAACUGCCUGAUGGAGGGGGAUAACUACUGGAAACGGUAGCUAAUACCGCAUACCAUCUGAUGUGCCCAGAUGGGAUUAGCUUGUUGGUGGGGUAACGGCUCACCAAGGCGACGAUCCCUCGCUGGUCUGAGAGGAUGACCAGACACAGUGGAAAUGAGACACGGGCCAGACUCCUACGGGAGGCAGAAGUGGGGAAUAUUGCACAAGGGGCGCAAGCCUGAUACAGCCAUGGCGCGUGUAUGAAGAAGGCCUUCGGGGUGUAAAGUACUUUAAGCGGGGAGGCGUUAAACGCAGAAGAAGCACCGGCUAACUCCGUGCCAGAAGCCGCGGUAAUAC
rnacentral:rRNA from 1 species